AACUGGGCACGCUCCCGCAACGACGGUCGACCUCGGCGACGAUACAUAGCUGUAGCUGUAAAGAACGGAACAGGAUCAGAUAAAAUACAAUCACUCCCAACCCAAUCAAACGAAAGUCCAGAAGGCGGCCCCUGUUUCUCCUCAAAAUUAUAUCGUCUGCAGCCAACAUAAUUUUACAGGCCAAAACAGGAACUCCUCCAAUCACUCACUCCACUCUAGGAGAAAUUAAAACAAUUAAUCAGUGACUUUCGCGAUAAAUCACGCCUCUCGCGUCUUACCUUCCUAAAGUUU
rnacentral:lncRNA from 1 species